UACGUAGGGUGCAAGCGUUGUCCGGAAUUAUUGGGCGUAAAGAGCUCGUAGGCGGCUUGUCACGUCGGGUGUGAAAGACCGGGGCUUAACCCCGGUUCUGCAUUCGAUACGGGCUGGCUAGAGUACGGAAGAGGCGAGUGGAAUUCCCGGUGUAGCGGUGAAAUGCGCAGAUAUCGGGAGGAACACCAAUUGCGAAGGCAGCGCGCUGGGACGUUACUGACGCUGAGACGCGAAAGCGUGGGGAGCGAACAGG
rnacentral:rRNA from 1 species